GCCUCUGUUGCACACAUGCAUUUCUCCAACUUGUUGGGAAGAAAAGAGGAUAGAAAGUGCUCGUUUAACUGGGAGGAGUUGCACAUGCCCGCAGUCCAAAAUGAGGGGCUUCAUAACCCAUUCACUGAAGCUGAAGUUUGGGCUGCAAUCUUAGCGUCGCCGGCGGAUCGGGCACCCGGCCCUGAUGGGUUCUCGGGCAUGUUUUUCAGAAGCUACUGGGGCAUGAUAAAGGAGGAUAUCAUGGCUCUGUUUGAUCAUCUCUACAGCCUCGCCGGGGGAACUUUGCUGACCUGA
rnacentral:rRNA from 1 species